AGCAGCGUGGCUCAGUGGAAAGAGCCCGGGCUUGGGAGUCGGAGGACAUGGGUUCGAAUCCCAGAACUGCCA
rfam:Ornithorhynchus anatinus chromosome 5, whole genome shotgun sequence.